rnacentral:tRNA from 1 species
GCCCGGAUGGUGGAACGGUAGACACACCAGACUUAAAAUCUGGGUCCUUCGGGAGUGCGAGUUCGAAUCUCGCUCCGGGUACCA